rnacentral:rRNA from 1 species
AUUGAACGCUGGCGGCAGGCCUAACACAUGCAAGUCGAGCGGAGGAAGGGAGCUUGCUCCUGGAUUCAGCGGCGGACGGGUGAGUAAUGCCUAGGAAUCUGCCUGGUAGUGGGGGAUAACGUCCGGAAACGGGCGCUAAUACCGCAUACGUCCUGAGGGAGAAAGUGGGGGAUCUUCGGACCUCACGCUAUCAGAUGAGCCUAGGUCGGAUUAGCUAGUUGGUGGGGUAAAGGCCUACCAAGGCGACGAUCCGUAACUGGUCUGAGAGGAUGAUCAGUCACACUGGAACUGAGACACGGUCCAGACUCCUACGGGAGGCAGCAGUGGGGAAUAUUGGACAAUGGGCGAAAGCCUGAUCCAGCCAUGCCGCGUGUGUGAAGAAGGUCUUCGGAUUUUAAAGCACUUUAAGUUGGGAGGAAGGGCAGUAAGUUAAUACCUUGCUGUUUUGACGUUACCAACAGAAUAAGCACCGGCUAACUUCGUG